rnacentral:rRNA from 1 species
CUACGGGGUGCUCCAGUGGGGAAUAUUGCACAAUGGAGGAAACUCUGAUGCAGCAACGCCGCGUGGAGGAUGACACAUUUCGGUGCGUAAAUUCCUUUUAUAUAGGAAGAUAAUGACGGUACUAUAUGAAUAAGCGCCGGCUAACUCCGUGCCAGCAGCCGCGGUAAUACGGAGGGCGCAAGCGUUACUCGGAAUCACUGGGCGUAAAGAGCGUGUAGGCGGAUAGAUAAGUCAGGAGUGAAAUCCUAUGGCUCAACCAUAGAACUGCUCUUGAAACUGUCAAUCUAGAGUGUGGGAGAGGUAGAUGGAAUUUCUGGUGUAGGGGUAAAAUCCGUAGAGAUCAGAAGGAAUACCGAUUGCGAAGGCGAUCUACUGGAACAUAACUGACGCUGAGACGCGAAAGCGUGGGGAGCAAACAGGAUUAGAUACCCCUGUAGUC